UAUGUGAUCGUCUCUCGCAUAUCAAUAAGCGGAGGAAAAGAGACUAACAAGGAUUCCCCUAGUAACGGCGAGUGAAGCGGGAAGAGCUCAAAUUUGAAAUCUUAAAGGGUUUCCCUUUACGAAUUGUAGUUUAAAGAAGUGUUUUCUGUUGAGGUUUUGGUAAAAGUUCUUUGGAAUAGGACAUCAUAGAGGGUGAGAAUCCCGUAUUUGACCUUUACUUUCAACUUUGUGAUACACUUUCAAAGAGUCGGAUUGUUUGGGAAUGCAGUCCAAAAUGGGUGGUAAAUUCCAUCUAAAGCUAAAUAUUGGCGAGAGACCGAUAGCGAACAAGUACCGUGAGGGAAAGAUGAAAAGAACUUUGAAAAGAGAGUUAAACAGUACGUGAAAUUGUCAAAAGGGAAGCGUUUGACACCAGUGUUGUUUUUUCUGAAAAUCAAUUAAAGAACUGUUUAUGCUAAGUUGUUUAGACUUUAUCAGCUAACUGUUUAGUUUUGAGCUUUUCUUUAAUGCACUUUUCAGUUAACAAGGUCAACAUCAAUUUCUUUUGCUGUAAAAAAGCUUGAGGAAGGUGGCUUGAGAUUCGUCUUAAGUGUUUAUAGCCUCUUGCCUAUGCAGUCGGAGAGAUUGAGGUCUGCAGCGUAGAUCCUUCGGGGCUAAAUGCAUUUGUGCUAAGUUAUAGCAUUUUAUAGACAACUUGUUGACUAUGAUUUGUCUUGUAGCUUACUCGCUUAUGUUAUUUUACCUACGCUUAGGAUGUUGAUCUACAGAGCGAGAGU
rnacentral:rRNA from 1 species